AGAAACCCCGCGCAAUAUAAAAAAUACCACGUGACGACGCUCCAACCCGCAUAUUAAAGCAGCGCCCUCGAACAAGCUCCCUCUAAGUUAGCCAGAAUGAAAUAAACAAAAGAAAGAAAGAAAGAAGAAAUCGUGACCGAGUUUGUGUUUUACCACGACCAAAGGAGCACAUCGCGUUUGGUGUUAGUUGGAAACGAGCUGCGAUAGCUGUUGUCUUAGCGUAGACAGUGUGCAUGGGCAGGCAAAAUUCGUUGCUUUCAAUCAGAUUACUUGAGGGCGCUGCUUUAUGAUGCGGGUGGGAGCGUCGUCACGUGGUACUUUUUUAUAUUUCGCGGGGUUUCUUUGUCACUUGGAAAAAAUGAGUACGCAAUUAGUACGGAGCUGAAAAU
rnacentral:lncRNA from 1 species